rnacentral:rRNA from 1 species
GGUUAAGCGACUAAGCGUACACGGUGGAUGCCCUGGCAGUCAGAGGCGAUGAAGGACGUGCUAAUCUGCGAUAAGCGUCGGUGAGGUGAUAUGAACCGUUAUAACCGGCGAUUUCCGAAUGGGGAAACCCAGUGUGUUUCGACACACUAUCAUUAACUGAAUCCAUAGGUUAAUGAGGCGAACCGGGGGAACUGAAACAUCUAAGUACCCCGAGGAAAAGAAAUCAACCGAGAUUCCCCCAGUAGCGGCGAGCGAACGGGGAGGAGCCCAGAGCCUGAAUCAGUGUGUGUGUUAGUGGAAGCGUCUGGAAAGGCGCGCGAUACAGGGUGACAGCCCCGUACACAAAAAUGCACAUAUUGUGAGCUCGAUGAGUAGGGCGGGACACGUGGUAUCCUGUCUGAAUAUGGGGGGACCAUCCUCCAAGGCUAAAUACUCCUGACUGACCGAUAGUGAACCAGUACCGUGAGGGAAAGGCGAAAAGAACCCCGGCGAGGGGAGUGAAAAAGAACCUGAAACCGUGUACGUACAAGCAGUGGGAGCCUCUUAAUGGGGUGACUGCGUACCUUUUGUAUAAUGGGUCAGCGACUUAUAUUCUGUAGCAAGGUUAACCGAAUAGGGGAGCCGAAGGGAAACCGAGUCUUAACUGGGCGUUAAGUUGCAGGGUAUAGACCCGAAACCCGGUGAUCUAGCCAUGGGCAGGUUGAAGGUUGGGUAACACUAACUGGAGGACCGAACCGACUAAUGUUGAAAAAUUAGCGGAUGACUUGUGGCUGGGGGUGAAAGGCCAAUCAAACCGGGAGAUAGCUGGUUCUCCCCGAAAGCUAUUUAGGUAGCGCCUCGUGAAUUCAUCUCCGGGGGUAGAGCACUGUUUCGGCAAGGGGGUCAUCCCGACUUACCAACCCGAUGCAAACUGCGAAUACCGGAGAAUGUUAUCACGGGAG